AACGCACCUUGCGCUCCUAGGUCUUCCGAGGAGCAUGCCUGUUUGAGUGUCCAGAACUUCACUCGGUCACCUCUUUGCUGGGGUUGACCGGAAAUGGGGGUCUGCCGUUGACCUGUUCACGGCUCUCCCUAAAUGUGUUAGCUUGUGGGGGACGAACCACCGUUGGCUUAAUAGGUUUACAUCUAUGCUGCGGGUUCUACUGCAUCACGGCUUCAUAAUCGUCUCUGGACAAAUAUUUUCUGAGCUCGGGCCUCAAAUCAGGUAGGACUACCCGCUGAACUUAA
rnacentral:misc_RNA from 1 species